UACGAAGGGGGGCUAGCGUUGUUCGGAAUUACUGGGCGUAAAGCGCGCGCAGGCGGUUCUUCAAGUCAGAGGUGAAAGCCCAGAGCUCAACUCUGGAAUGGCCUUUGAGACUAGAGAACUAGGGUACGGGAGAGGUGAGUGGAAUUCCGAGUGUAGAGGUGAAAUUCGUAGAUAUUCGGAAGAACACCAGUGGCGAAGGCGCUCACUGGCCCGUUACCGACGCUCAGGCGCGACAGCGUGGGGAGCAAACAGG
rnacentral:rRNA from 1 species